GCAUUGUUGGUUCAGUGGUAGAAUUCUCGCCUGCCACGCGGGGACCCGGGUUCGAUUCCCGGACAAUGCA
rfam:Strongylocentrotus purpuratus Contig106607_fixed, whole genome shotgun sequence.